rnacentral:rRNA from 1 species
GAUGAACGCUGGCGGCGUGCCUAAUACAUGCAAGUCGAGCGAACAGACGAGGAGCUUGCUCCUCUGACGUUAGCGGCGGACGGGUGAGUAACACGUGGAUAACCUACCUAUAAGACUGGGAUAACUUCGGGAAACCGGCGCUAAUACCGGAUAAUAUAUUGAACCGCAUGGUUCAAUAGUGAAAGACGGUUUUGCUGUCACUUAUAGAUGGAUCCGCGCCGCAUUAGCUAGUUGGUAAGGUAACGGCUUACCAAGGCAACGAUGCGUAGCCGACCUGAGAGGGUGAUCGGCCACACUGGAAGUGAGACACGGUCCAGACUCCUACGGGAGGCAGCAGUAGGGAAUCUUCCGCAAUGGGCGAAAGCCUGACGGAGCAACGCCGCGUGAGUGAUGAAGGUCUUCGGAUCGUAAAACUCUGUUAUUAGGGAAGAACAAAUGUGUAAGUAACUAUGCACGUCUUGACGGUACCUAAUCAGAAAGCCACGGCUAACUACGUG